rnacentral:rRNA from 1 species
AACGAACGCUGGCGGCAGGCCUAACACAUGCAAGUCGAGCGAGGACUUCGGUUCUAGCGGCGGACGGGUGAGUAACGCGUGGGAAUGUGCCCUUCUCUACGGAAUAGCCCUGGGAAACUGGGAGUAAUACCGUAUACGCCCUAUUGGGGAAAGAUUUAUCGGAGAAGGAUCAGCCCGCGUUGGAUUAGGUAGUUGGUGGGGUAAUGGCCUACCAAGCCGACGAUCCAUAGCUGGUUUGAGAGGAUGAUCAGCCACACUGGGACUGAGACACGGCCCAGACUACUGCGGGAGGCAGCAGUGGGGAAUCUUAGACAAUGGGGGCAACCCUGAUCUAGCCAUGCCGCGUGAGUGAUGAAGGCCUUAGGGUUGUAAAGCUCUUUCAGCUGGGAAGAUAAUGACGGUACCAGCAGAAGAAGCCCCGGCUAACUCCGUGCCAGCCGCCGCCGUAAAAC